rnacentral:rRNA from 1 species
UGAGUACGAGACGCUAAGCCGUCGAAGUAGUGGAUGUCAUACUUCCAAGAAAAGCUUGCACUGUCAUAAAUAUAAAACGCCUGUACCAUAACCGACACAGGUGGGUAGGUAGAGUAUACUAAGGGGCGCGAGAUAACUCUCUCUAAGGAACUCGGCAAAAUAACUCCGUAACUUCGGGAGAAGGAGUGCCUUAUUCGUAAGGCUGCAAUAACAAGAUCCAAGCAACUGUUUAUCAAAAACACAGGUCUCCGCUAAGUCGUAAGACGAUGUAUGGGGGCUGACGCCUGCCCAGUGCCAGAAGGUUAAAGAAGUCGGUUAGCAUUAGCGAAGCUGGUAACUGAAGCCCUGGUGAACGGCGGCCGUAACAAUAACGGUCCUAAGGUAGCGAAAUUCCUUGUCGGGUAAGUUCCGACCCGCACGAAAGGCGUAAUGAUUUGGAUACUGUCUCGGAGAGGGGCUCGGUGAAAUAGACUUGUCUGUGAAGAUGCGGACUACCUGCACCAGGACAGAAAGACCCUAUGAAGCUUUACUGUAACUUGAAAUUGAAUUGGACUUUAUUCGCGCAGUAUAGGUGGGAGGUGUUGAUUAUAAUCUUGCGGGAUUAUUGGAGCCAUCAGUGAGAUACCACUCUUGUAAUGUUAGAUUUCUAACUUUGAAUCAUUAUCUGGUCAAAGAACAGUUUCAGGCGGGCAGUUUGACUGGGGCGGUCGCCUCCUAAAUGGUAACGGAGGCGUACAAAGGUUUCCUCUGAACGGGUAGAAAUCGUAUCUAGAGUGUAAAGGCAUAAGGAAGCUUGACUGUGAGACCUACAAGUCGAGCAGGGACGAAAGUCGGUCUUAGUGAUCUGACGGUACUGAGUGGAAAGGCCGUCACUCAACGGAUAAAAGCUACUCUAGGAUAACAGGCUGAUCUCCCCCAAGAGUUCACAUCGACGGGGAGGUUUGGCACCUCGAUGUCGGCUCAUCGCAUCCUGGGGCGGUAGUACGUCCCAAGGGUUGGGCUGUUCGCCCAUGAAAGCGGUACGCGAGCUGGGUUCAGAACGUCGUGAGACAGUUCGGUCCAUAUCCGGUGUAGGCGUUAGAAUAUUGAGAGGAGCCUUCUUUAGUACGAGAGGACCGAGAAGGACAUACCUCUGGUGUACCAGUUAUCGUGCCAACGGUAAACGCUGGGUAGCUAUGUAUGGAGUGGAUAACCGCUGAAAGCAUCUAAGUGGGAAGCCCACCUCAAGAUAAGUAUUCCC